CCCUGCCAUUUGUACACACCGCCCGUCGCUCCUACCGAUUGAGUGAACCGGUGAAUAAUUUGGACUGCCGCAUUGUUCAGUUCCUGGACAGUGCAGCGGGAAGUUUAGUGAACCUUUUCACUUAGAGG
rnacentral:rRNA from 1 species